GAUGAACGCUGGCGGCGUGCCUAAUACAUGCAAAUCGAGCGAAUGGAUUGAGAGCUUGCUCUUAUGAAGUUAGCGGCGGACGGGUGAGUAACACGUGGGUAACCUGCCCAUAAGACUGGGAUAACUCCGGGAAACCGGGGCUAAUACCGGAUAACAUUUUGAACCGCAUGGUUCGAAGUUGAAAGGCGGCUUCGGCUGUCACUUAUGGAUGGACCCGCGUCGCAUUAGCUAGUUGGUGAGGUAACGGCUCACCAAGGCAACGAUGCGUAGCCGACCUGAGAGGGGGAUCGGCCACACUGGGCCGGAGACACGGCCCAGACUCCUACGGGAGGCAGCAGUAGGGAAUCUUCCGCAAUGGAAGAAAGUCUGACGGAGCAACGCCGCGUGAGUGAUGAAGGCGUUCGGGUCGUAAAACUCUGUUGUUAGGGAAGAACAAGUGCUAGUUGAAUAAGCUGGCACCUUGACGGUACCUAACCAGAAAGCCACGGCUAACUACGUGCCAGCCACCGCCGUAA
rnacentral:rRNA from 1 species